UUGAACGCUGGCGGCAGGCCUAACACAUGCAAGUCGAACGGUAACAGGAAACAGCUUGCUGUUUCGCUGACGAGUGGCGGACGGGUGAGUAAUGUCUGGGAAACUGCCUGAUGGAGGGGGAUAACUACUGGAAACGGUAGCUAAUACCGCAUAACGUCGCAAGACCAAAGAGGGGGACCUUCGGGCCUCUUGCCAUCGGAUGUGCCCAGAUGGGAUUAGCUUGUUGGUGGGGUAACGGCUCACCAAGGCGACGAUCCCUAGCUGGUCUGAGAGGAUGACCAGCCACACUGGAACUGAGACACGGUCCAGACUCCUACGGGAGGCAGCAGUGGGGAAUAUUGCACAAUGGGCGCAAGCCUGAUGCAGCCAUGCCGCGUGUAUGAAGAAGGCCUUCGGGUUGUAAAGUACUUUCAGCGGGGAGGAAGGGAGUAAAGUUAAUACCUUUGCUCAUUGACGUUACCCGCAGAAGAAGCACCGGCUAACUCCGUGCCAGCAGCCGCGGUAAUACGGAGGGUGCAAGCGUUAAUCGGAAUUACUGGGCGUAAAGCGCACGCAGGCGGUUUGUUAAGUCAGAUGUGAAAUCCCCGGGCUCAACCUGGGAACUGCAUCUGAUACUGGCAAGCUUGAGUCUCGUAGAGGGGGGUAGAAUUCCAGGUGUAGCGGUGAAAUGCGUAGAGAUCUGGAGGAAUACCGGUGGCGAAGGCGGCCCCCUGGACGAAGACUGACGCUCAGGUGCGAAAGCGUGGGGAGCAAACAGGAUUAGAUACCCUGGUAGUCCACGCCGUAAACGAUGUCGACUUGGAGGUUGUGCCCUUGAGGCGUGGCUUCCGGAGCUAACGCGUUAAGUCGACCGCCUGGGGAGUACGGCCGCAAGGUUAAAACUCAAAUGAAUUGACGGGGGCCCGCACAAGCGGUGGAGCAUGUGGUUUAAUUCGAUGCAACGCGAAGAACCUUACCUGGUCUUGACAUCCACGGAAGUUUUCAGAGAUGAGAAUGUGCCUUCGGGAACCGUGAGACAGGUGCUGCAUGGCUGUCGUCAGCUCGUGUUGUGAAAUGUUGGGUUAAGUCCCGCAGCGAGCGCAACCCUUAUCCUUUGUUGCCAGCGGUCCGGCCGGGAACUCAAAGGAGACUGCCAGUGAUAAACUGGAGGAAGGUGGGGAUGACGUCAAGUCAUCAUGGCCCUUACGACCAGGGCUACACACGUGCUACAAUGGCGCAUACAAAGAGAAGCGACCUCGCGAGAGCAAGCGGACCUCAUAAAGUGCGUCGUAGUCCGGAUUGGAGUCUGCAACUCGACUCCAUGAAGUCGGAAUCGCUAGUAAUCGUGGAUCAGAAUGCCACGGUGAAUACGUUCCCGGGCCUUGUACACACCGCCCGUCACACCAUGGGAGUGGGUUGCAAAAGAAGUAGGUAGCUUAACCUUCGGGAGGGCGCUUACCACUUUGUGAUUCAUGACUGGGGUG
rnacentral:rRNA from 1 species